UACGUAGGCAGCAAGCGUUGUUCGGAUUUACUGGGCGUAAAGAGUGCGAAGGCGGUCCUGUAAGUUUGGUGUGAAAUCUCCCGGCUCAACUGGGAGGGUGCGCCGAAGACUGCAGGGCUUGAGUAUGGGAGAGGUAAGCGGAAUUCCUGGUGUAGCGGUGAAAUGCGUAGAUAUCAGGAGGAACACCUGUGGUGUAGACAGCUUACUGGACCAUAACUGACGCUGAGGCACGAAAGCGUGGGUAGCAAACAGG
rnacentral:rRNA from 1 species